rnacentral:rRNA from 1 species
GCUGACGAGUGGCGAACGGGUGAGUAAUGCAUCGGAACGUGCCCAGUCGUGGGGGAUAACGCAGCGAAAGCUGUGCUAAUACCGCAUACGAUCUAUGGAUGAAAGCGGGGGAUCGCAAGACCUCGCGCGAUUGGAGCGGCCGAUGUCAGAUUAGCUAGUUGGUGGGGUAAAGGCCCACCAAGGCGACGAUCUGUAGCUGGUCUGAGAGGACGACCAGCCACACUGGGACUGAGACACGGCCCAGACUCCUACGGGAGGCAGCAGUGGGGAAUUUUGGACAAUGGGCGCAAGCCUGAUCCAGCAAUGCCGCGUGCAGGAAGAAGGCCUUCGGGUUGUAAACUGCUUUUGUACGGAACGAAAAGGUCUGGGUUAAUACCCUGGGCUCAUGACGGUACCGUAAGAAUAAGCACCGGCUAACUACGUGCCAGCAGCCGCGGUAAUACGUAGGGUGCAAGCGUUAAUCGGAAUUACUGGGCGUAAAGCGUGCGCAGGCGGUUUUGUAAGACAGGCGUGAAAUCCCCGGGCUCAACCUGGGAAUGGCGCUUGUGACUGCAAAGCUGGAGUGCGGCAGAGGGGGAUGGAAUUCCGCGUGUAGCAGUGAAAUGCGUAG